rnacentral:rRNA from 1 species
AUUGAACGCUGGCGGCAGGCUUAACACAUGCAAGUCGAGCGGAGACUUCGGUCUUAGCGGCGAACGGGUGAGUAAUACCUAGGAAUCUGCCUAUUAGUGGGGGAUAACGAAUCGAAAGGUUCGCUAAUACCGCAUACGUCCUACGGGAGAAAGGGGGGAGUCUUCGGACCUCUCGCUAAUAGAUGAGCCUAGGCCGGAUUAGCUAGUUGGUAGGGUAAAGGCCUACCAAGGCGACGAUCUGUAGCUGGUCUGAGAGGAUGGCCAGCCACACUGGAACUGAGACACGGUCCAGACUCCUACGGGAGGCAGCAGUGGGGAAUAUUGGACAAUGGGGGGCAACCCUGAUCCAGCCAUGCCGCGUGUGUGAAGAAGGCCUCGGUU